rnacentral:rRNA from 1 species
AUUGAACGCUGGCGGCAGGCCUAACACAUGCAAGUCGAGCGGAUGAAGGGAGCUUGCUCCUGGAUUCAGCGGCGGACGGGUGAGUAAUGCCUAGGAAUCUGCCUGGUAGUGGGGGAUAACGUCCGGAAACGGGCGCUAAUACCGCAUACGUCCUGAGGUAGAAAGUGGGGGAUCUUCGGACCUCACGCUAUCAGAUGAGCCUAGGUCGGAUUAGCUAGUUGGUGGGGUAAAGGCCUACCAAGGCGACGAUCCGUAACUGGUCUGAGAGGAUGAUCAGUCACACUGGAACUGAGACACGGUCCAGACUCCUACGGGAGGCAGCAGUGGGGAAUAUUGGACAAUGGGCGAAAGCCUGAUCCAGCCAUGCCGCGUGUGUGAAGAAGGUCUUCUGAUUGUAAAGCACUUUAAGUUGGGAGGAAGGGCAGUAAGUUAAUACCUUGCUGUUUUGACGUUACCAACAGAAUAAGCACCGGCUAACUUCGUG